CAGGGAAAAGCUCACAGUUGGAACCUAGCUGCCUUAGGUAGUUCGGAUUGUAAACUGAAAAAGUGUUAUCCAGGCUAGCCGAGUAAAAAAGUUUCUUGGAAUAGAACAUCAUGGAGGGUGAGAAUCCCGUCUUUGGCUUGAGCAUAGUCUUUUGUGUUACACUUUAACGAGUCAGGUUGUUUGGGAAUGCAGCCUAAAGUGGGAGGUAAAUCCCUCCUAAAGCUAAAUAUUGGCGAGAGACCGAUAGCAAACAAGUACCGUGAGGGAAAGAUGAAAAGAACUUUGAAAAGAGAGUUAAACAGUAUGUGAAAUUGCUAAAAGGGAAGCGUUUGAAGACAGACUAGCUUGGUUAUAAUCAGCCUGGAUUUUUCUUGGUGUACUUGUAGCCUAUGCUUGCCAACAGCAGUUUGAUCUGGCUGAAAAAACUAGUAGUAAGGUGGCUCUCUUCGGGGAGUGUUAUAGACUAUUAGAAAAUCAGUUGGAUUGGACUGAGGAAUGCAAUGCAGCUUGCCUUGGGGUGAACCAGAUUGAAUAGAAACCAUUGUUUCUUGAAGGUUUGGGUAGCUCUUCGAACUGUAUUUAGGUUGUUGGCUUAAUGUCUUUAAACG
rnacentral:rRNA from 1 species